CUAUUACGUUAGUUCCAAUGACCCACCAUAGAUCGCUUGAGAGUGGGUUGCAGUGGUGUGGCUGUUCCAAAAUACUGCAACCUGCUGACGUAUACUAUCCAUUUUGAAGGCAGACAAUUACGUAGCAAUUCGUGAACACACCUUAAUACUUAUCUGUAGCAGUCUUGGGACAAAUUGUAAGAAUGGGUCCGAGAGUUUCCCUGGUCUUCGUGGUCUUAUGCAUUGCUGUCAUGGGCAUGGUAGAAGUCGUGAACGCGGACAUCGAGGCUGGUGAAAUAAAACUCUCCGCCCGUGGUCGCGAACUCCUGCUAAAGCUCCUCGCUCUUGAAAGAAAAGACGCCAGAGGAGAAGAUAUAAAUGAAAUGAAAGAUAAGGGAUGUCCAACUGGUUUUUGGUGUUAACAGCUAGUAGAAGCAACGAAGACAAAAAGCGACAAUCGAAUGUGGUUUCUUAGGUGUUCGGGUUUAUUCGCCUGAUUUUGUGAAUACAUCCGUGAUUCAUUUUCGGAUUUCCGUCUAUUAAAGUUUUUAGUAGUUAAUAGUCCAAUAAUAAUAAUAAUAAUAAUAAUAGUACAUUUCUUAAAAACGCAUAACACCGACAGGUCUCUAUGCGCGAUUGACUGAAUCAAACAUUCUGAAAGAGGUGGGUUUUUAAUUGAACUUUGAAUUUCUCAAGCUGGGUAAUAUUUCUUAAUGUCGGUGGUAGAGAAUUCCAUAGUGCUGGUGCAGCUUUCUGGAAAGCCCGAUCCCCAUAUGAUUUGGUCUUGACAGUAAUUACAGAGAGAAGAUUUUGUGAGCCAGAACGGAGAUUACGCUUGGGUUUAUGAAUCUGGACAAGUUCUUGAAGAUAAGCAGGGGCAAUACCAUGAAUACAUUUGAAUGUUAAUAUGAGAAGUUUAUAUUUGAUACAAUUUUACAAUAGUGUAAGGGCAGUUCAUUUUUAAACAGAUGAAAUUAAAUAUUGGUAUUGUUCUGUAUCUAACGUUCCCUUUAGGUAAUCGUUUGUGUUUUUUUUUUCUUUCUUUCUUUUCUUUUAAAAUUCCUUUUGAGCCCUUACCUUAAAAAUUUUGUAAUUGGAUAUUAGAAAACCAUACACAAAACCUGUAACGCGAAAUUUAAGUCUCUGCUCUAACAGAAAAAAUAAAAACUUGACAAAACCAUUUGUGCUAUUUUCUUCUCAACACAAUUAUUUCAGAUUACUUUUUUGUUCAGUGGUGGCAUACCAUGAUAGAAAAUUUAAUAUAAAUCAUAUAUUUGACAUUUAUAUAUUUCUAUGAAACUGUUUGAAAAUAUAAUAACAAACAAAGAAUACAUUUGGCACGUACGAAUAUUACUUUUUUCUUCAAAGAAAAUUUCAUCUGAAAUAUACUUUGAUCCCAAUUCAUUUGAUAUCAAAUUCGUCAUGGUAGUAUUUAUAUUUCUGGAGAUUUGGCAAGCAAACAAAUUUCACUGAAUUUUUCCAUGGAUGUACAUGUCAGUGUAAACUUUUGGCCUCAACUCUCUCUCUAUAUAUAUACAUACAUAUAUAUAUAUAUAUAUAUUUACAUCGAUAUGAGGAAAAUGUAAAAAAUAAUGUCAAUAAUAAUUUUCAAAUAUGCUUAAAUUGUUCAGGACUAUUUUCAAAACCCGCUACUUUGACUUUAAUAUUCGACACACCUGGCAAGCUGCUAAUACUUUAUUAUGAAACUCAUAUUGUUUUGCUUUGUAGCUUAUAUGGUUUUAAUUUUAGCUCCGGUUCGGAUCUUUAACAAGUUUUGUUAUCUGAAAGAUUUUAUACCUACUUAUUAACUUUAGUAACAAAUCAACAUGGCAAUUAACAGUGUGAUAUUUUCACCGAGCUGUUUAUCAUGAAUUACUUUACUUGAAUGAAUAUAUUUCUCCUUCGAUAAUUUUUCGGUAGUUUAUGUAACUGUAACAUUAUGUUUAUCUGCCGUGCUUGAGACUGAAAUGUGGCCAUGUCCUUUGCUUUCUUUUGUAAUGUGUUAUUCAAUGCAUAUGUACGUGCCCUCUUACUUUACACUGGUAUUUUAUAUCUGUUCGUUCAAAGUGAUGCGAAACAACGAUGGAAUAACAGUAUGAUACGUGUUAUAUUUGAA